AAUAUGCGUCCCCUUAAAUGCUUACCGUGCUCAAAUGUAGGUUUAUAUCAACAAAAGUUUUACCACUAUUACAAAACGCGGAUGACAGGUUAACAUAAUUUAAUUGAUAUCCUUUCAUGAUCCUUUAGGUGGUCGAUUUUAACUUUUGUUGAGUGUACACCAAUACUAUAAAAUACCUAAUUAACAACGGAAACGUGGCUUGCUCUAUGCACUAACAUAGAAUAUAUGCAUUUACAACAUUGCAUAACUUAUUUUUCAAGUCAAUGCAGUUACCAAGUGUAAACAGACGCUUCUGUGUAAUACAAUAUGCGCUUCGCCCCUAGCUCGCAGCAAACAGCUACAUGUGUAUACUUUUACCGUGAACCAUCUCGAAAUUUUCAAAACUUCAGUAAACUUCUGUUAUACAAUAGGAUACACAGAUGAAACGAAGAGAAACCAGAAUAAAGUAAUGAGAAUGAAUCCUAGUAUGUUGAUCAGAUAACUGACUACUUUUAAGACACACCAUGUCGCAAAAGCAAUGUUUCUAAAUUCUUUAUUUCCGGCGAGAACCGUUCCCAAAAACAAGUAUUAAAGUUUCAGUUAAUUCUAAAUCUAUUUUUCACUACAGCGUAUAGAGCGUUGGUGGCUGUCAAACAGACAAGGUGGAUGUCAGUACUGGAUAGAUCUCUUUAAAGAUAUGGAAAACGCUGGACUUCUCUCAACAAGUGACGAACUACACAUAGAAUGCGUGCGUUUGCUUAUUGACAUAAUACAGAAAGAGCUUGACCGAGUGCGAAUGGAAUGGAAUGGAAGCAACAUACAAUACGGAGAAAUGGACCUGAAGACUCCCCAAGCGGGAAACCAGACCUCAUGUACUAUAUGCCCGAGUUGUUUGGUGGUGUUGAUUACAAGGUUACGUUGAACCAGAGAGACCUUGAUCAAGUGUCAUCAGAAUUCUGUUAUACGGGGCCUAUACGGUGCAUAAGCGAAACAGAAGCACAGUUUGAACGGGAAAUGAGACGAAAACAUUUGCGCAUGCCAGUUACAGCUGAUAAAGCAAUAGAAGUAUAUGGUGCCUUAAAUCCCGCUGUUCAGAACCAAACAACAGAACAUCAUUGUACUACAUAAUCACCCAGCAUACACUCUAAGCCUAAUACAAUGACAUUUGCUUAAAUAUGGCAAAGAAGUUAAUAUUAGCAAAAAAGCUACUUUCAAAAGCAAUAAAACGUUUGUUUGUUAUUUCGUUUGGCUGUCUGUGUCAUCUGUACAGUUAUAUGCUGCCAUACAAGGCUGGUAAAUUUGUUUUUGUUGUAUUAUAUCUUCGAAUGAAUGAUCUCGCAAUAAACAUGUACAUAAAUACAGACAAAUCCAUUCCACUCCGUUUCCUCAAUGAUGACAAAAUCGUGUUGGCCUAACGUUUCUUACCCGAGAAUCUUUAUGAAGUUCUAUUUAAAAACUCCAAACCACUUUCUAGAUAUAUGGCUUCGGACUGAUGGAUGGAUGGACAACCCCAAAACUAUACCCCUCCACCUUUGCUGGGGGAUAAUCCACGAAUUCGUAUCCCCACGAAAUUGCCGUUUUGUCCAAAACCACGAAAAUUAAUGAUUUCACAGUAGUUAACUUAACUGGUGGCAGUUCUUGGCAAUGACAAUUAUUUCCGUUAUGAUAUUUAUCUUACGUUCAAUUUAUUACGAAUGCUAAAUAGAUAACCAGAUAAUUUUCGUGAUUAUUAUGUGUUAAACAUGAAUUAAUUCGCGAACCUUUAGUGGUUAUAUAACGGCAGAAAUAUGUCACGAUACUAUGCAACUCGU
rnacentral:lncRNA from 1 species